UGCCUUAGUAACGGCGAGUGAGCGGCAAAGCUCAAAUUUGAAAUCUGGUACCUUCGGUGCCCGAGUUGUAAUUUGGAGAGGGCAACUUUGGGGCCGUUCCUUGUCUAUGUUCCUUGGAACAGGACGUCAUAGAGGGUGAGAAUCCCGUGUGGCGAGGAGUGCGGUUCUUUGUAAAGUGCCUUCGAAGAGUCGAGUUGUUUGGGAAUGCAGCUCUAAGUGGGUGGUAAAUUCCAUCUAAAGCUAAAUAUUGGCGAGAGACCGAUAGCGAACAAGUACAGUGAUGGAAAGAUGAAAAGAACUUUGAAAAGAGAGUGAAAAAGUACGUGAAAUUGUUGAAAGGGAAGGGCAUUUGAUCAGACAUGGUGUUUUGUGCCCUCUGCUCCUUGUGGGUAGGGGAAUCUCGCAUUUCACUGGGCCAGCAUCAGUUUUGGUGGCAGGAUAAAUCCAUAGGAAUGUAGCUUGCCUCGGUAAGUAUUAUAGCCUGUGGGAA
rnacentral:rRNA from 1 species